rnacentral:rRNA from 1 species
GACGAACGCUGGCGGCGUGCUUAAUACAUGCAAGUCGAACGGAAAGGCCCUGCUUUUGUGGGGUGCUCGAGUGGCGAACGGGUGAGUAACACGUGAGUAACCUGCCCUUGACUUUGGGAUAACUUCAGGAAACUGGGGCUAAUACCGGAUAGGAGCUUCUGCUGCAUGGUGGGGGUUGGAAAGUUUCGGCGGUUGGGGAUGGACUCGCGGCUUAUCAGCUUGGUGGUGAGGUUGUGGCUUUCCAAGGGUUCGAUGGGUAGCCGGCCUGACAGGGUGACCGGCCACACUGGAAGUGAGACACGGCCCAGAGGCCUACGGGAGGCCGCAGUAGGGAAUCGGGAGCAAUGGGCGGAAGCAUGACGGAGCAAGGCGGAGGGAGUGAUGAAGGACUUCGGAUCGGAAAACUCUGUUAUUAGGGAAGAACACAUGUGCAAGUAACGGGGCACAUAUUGACGGUAACUGGUAAGAAAGCCACGGCUAACUACGUG